rnacentral:lncRNA from 1 species
UAAAAUAUAUAAAUCUAAAAUCUAUAGAAAAAGUCCUCAUUAUUUUCGUAGCAAAUUCUGUAAGUAAAAUGUCAAACCAUUAAAAUAUUAUUAAAAAAUGUUUUCUUGCCAAACUUUUUAAAAAAAUCUGACAUCCCCACAUAUAUUAUUGGAUAUUUUAAAAAAUCGGUAAAAAUACAUAAAAUUUUAAUUAUAAACCAAUCUUAAAA